GAUGAACACUAGCGGCAGGCUUAACACAUGAAAGUCGAGGGGGAGAAGCUGCUUGCAACUUUGAGACCGGCGCACGGGUGCGUAACGCGUAUGCAACCUACCUUUUACAGAGGGAUAGCCCAGAGAAAUUUGGAUUAAUACCUCAUAGUAUAUAAUCUCCGCAUGUUGGUUAUAUAAAAUUUCCAACGGUAAAAGAUGGGUAUGCGUCGUAUUAGCUAGUUGGUGUGGAAACGGCACACCAAGGCGGCGAUGGGUAGGGGUCCUGAGAGGGGGAUCCCCCGAACUGGUACUGAGACACGGACCAGACUCCUACGGGAGGCAGCAGUAGGGAAUAUUGGGCAAUGGUCGGAAGACUGACCCAGCCAUGCCGCGUGCAGGAAGACGGCGUUCUGCGUUGUAAACUGCUUUUAUCUGGGAAGAAAAGGCCCAUGCGUGGGACAUUGCCGGUACCAGAUGAAUAAGCACCGGCUAACUCCGUGCCAGCCGCCGCAGUAAAAC
rnacentral:rRNA from 1 species